rnacentral:misc_RNA from 1 species
AAACUGUAAAUAUACCUGUAUGGGCUGUUGGUGGUGGUCUUAGAGUGUCUAUGAACUCCACAAUCAGACUUUCUAUGGAUGGAAGGCUGAUUUUGUUUGAAAACNNNNNNNNNUAAUUGUUUGGAGCAGUAGCACUUCUAGUUUAGGUGUUAAAAAGGCUACUCUUUUAAAUAAUGGGAACUUAGUUCUUGUGGGCAAUGGAGAUAGAGUGCUGUGGGAAAGUUUUCAUAGCCCAACGAGCACUCUCCUUCCUGGCCAGUCUCUGCUUUUUCCUCAAACACUAAGAGCUCCUACAACGAAGUCAAUUUCUAGUUACUAUAACUUUGUGAUUCGGCGCUCUGGAGAGCUUGCCCUUGUGUGGGAGAACAAUAUGACAUAUUGGAGGAGUCAUUUGAGCUUUUCUAGUAGUAUUACUAUUAAGGAAG